rnacentral:tRNA from 3 species
GCCCGGUUAGCUCAAUCGGUAGAGCGUGAGACUCUUAUGAGUUCACCAUCUCAAGGUUGCGGGUUCGACCCCCGCAUCGGGCU